rnacentral:rRNA from 1 species
UUUGAUGAAGUUUUCGGAUGGAUUUAAAGCAGCUUAGUGGCGGACGGGUGAGUAACGCGUGGGUAACCUGCCUUGUACUGGGGGACAACAGUUGGAAACGACUGCUAAUACCGCAUAAGCGCACAGCUUCGCAUGAAGCAGUGUGAAAAACUUCGGUGGUACAAGAUGGACCCGCGUCUGAUUAGCUGGUUGGUGAGGUAACGGCCCACCAAGGCGACGAUCAGUAGCCGGCCUGAGAGGGUGAACGGCCACAUUGGGACUGAGACACGGCCCAAACUCC